rnacentral:lncRNA from 1 species
UUAAUUUUAUUUUAUUUUAUUCCAACCCUUUUUACUUUUUAUACCCGUUAUUUAAUUUCUAGACCAAUUAAUAAUGUCAACAGAAUAAAUGAUAAAGAUAUGCAAUAAAUGACAAAUAUAUGCAAUUAUAUAUUUAUUUGUAACUGUUAUUCUCUUAAUUAGGAUAAUUAGCUGUAGUAAAUGUAUAUGACAAUUUAGCUUAUUUUGUGGGUUGAA